AACUGGAGUAACGUAGUGACAGUCAGGACAUCAGCCUGAUGACCUGUUCUUUUCUUACAGAGAUUUCUGUAUGGAAAGGUUUCCAUGCUGCCCAUUUCUCUAGAUUUUGAGAUGCAUCACAGCAAAAAUACAUAACCAAAACAAGAGGCAACAGUCCUUUCUAACUCAAGAUAUUCUAUGAUUCUAUGUACAUAGCCAAGAAAACACUGGUUGAGAUAAUCUCCACUUUGUAACUUGAAAAUGUGAAGCAGAUACCCUGGGCCAAUAACUCUUUACUUGGUUUCAUGCUACUGGAGCCCUGAACAAUGCCAUGCUGUGCCUUGCUUUACAGACAGCAGAAUUUUGCAUCUUCAGUAAAGGCUGAAAACUGCAGCACUGAAGAUACACCAAGCACGUUACUGGAAUCUUUCUUGGCUCAGAAGAGACAAAGGUCCCACUCUUCAGAUCAGCACACAUGCAGAAGCAGAUGCCCAGCUGUCUCAGUCAGAAUUUGUGAGCAAUCAAAGCAAAGGAGGCACCUGAGAAAAAGAAAAAGGUCAAUGUUUAAUGAAUGCGAACAUGCAUGCCAUUUGAAACAAGCAAGAAGUUGUUAGGUGCUGCGUUCUUCUGUUCACACACAUAUAUGUGCAAUAUACUGUGUCAUCUGAAAACAGGCUGCACCAGACUUUGACUACAUACAUGAAACUAGCUGCAUCUUAGCCAGAAAUUUCUUAAUGUGAUUCUGAGUGAACAGCAAGCGCCAGGAGAAUACGAUGCUUUAUUCAUGCGGUGCCUGAAAGGAUACUUCACGCAUUCUGAGAGAAAAACAGAAGAGACUACCAGGGUAUUGUUUCCUUGCAACUGAUCCCCAUGACAGUGCAAACUAUUCUCUUCUAACUGUUUUGUAUCCUGCUGCUAUCUUGUGAGAGAGUUAAAAUUCACAUGCAAGAGAAUUAAGAUCUCACAGUAGUUUCUAAAUAAAUGUUCACUCUCGUUUCUCACCUUUGCACAUCUAUUUUGAAGCAGCCGUUUUUGCCUCAGCAAGUCAUUCCUGCAGAGAAGCAGACAAGUUCUACUCUGUAAGCUCCUUUAAUUAGCUAAAGUCAGGGCCAUUCACAGGACUUGAACAGCCUUCAUCUGGAUUAAUGAGUAUUUGGCACUUUGCUCAGUCAGGUGUCACUUUCCUUUCCUAUCAGCGACAUCUUUACCUGACCUUGAGACUAUUCUGUUGACUCUCCACAGUCUUCCAAGAUUCUCUUAUAAAUACUUUUCCUUGGCCCUGCUUUAACAAGUUACCAUUUUUCUUUUCAUAGUGGGGAAAUGCAGAAGCUGCGUCCUGUCUCCAGCUCCUUGCACCACAAUUCUCUUCCUUUCUCACUGUCUUAUUUUGGUAAUCCCUCUGUGAUAAUAUUGAUGUAUCACCCACUUGCCUGAGCUGUGACCCUAGUACCACCUUUUCAUUUAAAUGCUUCAAAACCAAGCCAGAAUAAACACCAGUCAACAAUGGA